rnacentral:tRNA from 1 species
UCCCUUGUGGCUCAGCUGGUAAAGAAUCCACCUGCAAUGUGGGAGACCCAGGUUCGAUCCCUGGGUAAGGAA